rnacentral:rRNA from 1 species
GAUGAACGCUGGCGGCGUGCCUAAUACAUGCAAGUCGAGCGAACAGACGAGGAGCUUGCUCCUCUGACGUUAGCGGCGGACGGGUGAGUAACACGUGGAUAACCUACCUAUAAGACUGGGAUAACUUCGGGAAACCGGAGCUAAUACCGGAUAUAUAUUGAACCGCAUGGUUCAAUAGUGAAAGACGGUUUUGCUGUCACUUAUAGAUGGAUCCGCGCCGCAUUAGCUAGUUGGUAAGGUAACGGCUUACCAAGGCAACGAUGCGUAGCCGACCUGAGAGGGUGAUCGGCCACACUGGAUCUGAGACACGGUCCAGACUCCUACGGGAGGCAGCAGUAGGGAAUCUUCCGCAAUGGGCGAAAGCCUGACGGAGCAACGCCGCGUGAGUGAUGAAGGUCUUCGGAUCGUAAAACUCUGUUAUUAGGGAAGAACAAAUGUGUAAGUAACUAUGCACGUCUUGACGGUACCUAAUCAGAAAGCCACGGCUAACUACGUG